CAUCGGGUGUCGCCAAUGCUGGGACGCCUCAGUGUCUGGGCAAUCAUACGUAUGUCCUCUUUGGUCCUUUCAGUCUUAGCAGGGGUUGGUCUUAGGAAGUCACAUGUCCAUCCCAACUGGUAGGGGCGGACCAAGCGAUUGUCCAUGGAAAGGUGGUAUCUAUAAAACAAUAGGGAGCUAGGAGUUUAUUUGUCUUUGGCUGGCCUGGCGCUCCCAGCAGAAUGAACCAAAGGCCUCAGAGAGAGGGAACUUCCCUGGUUUGGAGGCUUAGCUGGAACAAGGACAGUUUUAGGAAUGGGAAUGUCAAUUUAAUUUGUAGCACCAAGAGACAGUGAAGUGCAGGUUUGAAGAAAUUUACUCCUUCCAAAACAAAAACUGCAUUUUUGGAAGCAAAUCAAGGACACCUUUCCUGAUUGAUUUUGACAGCAGAACUGGGCAUCACUAUGCUAAUUAAACAUCUGGGAUUAUUAAACGAAAAUUAAUCUUCCUGCAGGAGGAGCCUGCAUUGGUUGAAUGUAACCCCCAUGAGAAUUUG